UACGUAGGACGCAAGCGUUAUCCGGAAUUAUUGGGCGUAAAGAGCUCGUAGGCGGUUUGUCGCGUCUGCCGUGAAAGUCCGGGGCUCAACUCCGGAUCUGCGGUGGGUACGGGCAGACUAGAGUGCAGUAGGGGAGACUGGAAUUCCUGGUGUAGCGGUGAAAUGCGCAGAUAUCAGGAGGAACACCGAUGGCGAAGGCAGGUCUCUGGGCUGUAACUGACGCUGAGGAGCGAAAGCAUGGGGAGCGAACAGG
rnacentral:rRNA from 1 species